rnacentral:rRNA from 1 species
UACGUAGGUGGCAAGCGUUGUCCGGAUUUAUUGGGCUUAAAGGGUGCGUAGGCGGUCUAUUAAGUCAGUGCUGAAAUAUCCCGGCUUAACCGGGAGGGUGGCAUUGAUACUGAUGGACUUGAGUAGAGUCGAGGUAGGCGGAAUUGACGGUGUAGCGGUGAAAUGCUUAGAUAUCGUCAAGAACACCGAUAGUGAAGACAGCUUACUAGACUUCAACUGACGCUGAGGCACGAAAGUGUGGGGAUCAAACAGG